rnacentral:rRNA from 1 species
AUUGAACGCUGGCGGCAUGCCUUACACAUGCAAGUCGAACGAGUGGCGCACGGGUGAGUAAUACAUCGGAACGUGUCCUAUCGUGGGGGAUAACUGAUCGAAAGCUCAGCUAAUACCGCAUACGAUUGGAGCGGCCGAUGGCCGAAUAGCUAGUUGGUGGGGUAAAGGCUCACCAAGGCGACGAUCGGUAGCUGGGCUGCGAGGAGGACCAGCCACACUGGGACUGAGACACGGCCCAGACUCCUACGUGAGGCAGCAGUGGGGAAUUUUGGGCAAUGGGCGCAAGCCUGAUCCAGCCAUGCCGCGUGAAGGAUGAAGGUCGUCGGAUUGUAAACAUCUUUUGUCAGGGAAGCGGUACCUGAAGAGUAAGCACCGGCUAACUACGUGCCAGCAGCCGCGGUAAUAC